rnacentral:rRNA from 1 species
GGGGCAGCAUGUCUUAGCUUGCUAAGGCGAUGGCGACCGGCGCACGGGUGAGUAACGCGUAUCCACCUGCCUUACACUCUUGGACAGCCUUCUGAAAGGGAGAUUAAUACAAGAUGUUUAAGCAUUCGUAAAGGUUUCCGGUGUAAGAUGGGGAUGCGUUCCAUUAGAUAGUAGGCGGGGUAACGGCCCACCUAGUCUUCGAUGGAUAGGGGUUCUGAGAGGAAGGUCCCCCACAUUGGAACUGAGACACGGUCCAAACUCUACGGGAGGCAGCAGUGAGGAAUAUUGGUCAAUGGACGAGAGUCUGAACCAGCCAAGUAGCGUGAAGGAUGGAGGUUUAUGGAUUGUAAACUUCUUUUAUACGGGAAUAACGGAUCCACGCGUGGAUUUCUGCAUGUACCGUAUGAAUAAGGAUCGGCUAACUCCGUGCCAGCAGCCGCGGUAAUACGGAGGAUCCGAGCGUUAUCCGGAUUUAUUGGGUUUAAAGGGAGCGUAGAUGGGUUGUUAAGUCAGUUGUGAAAGUUUGCGGCUCAACCGUAAAAUUGCAAUUGAUACUGGCAGUCUUGAGUACAGUUGAGGUAGGCGGAAUUCG